AUUUGGAAAGAAAUCCUGAGUACUUUUGAUAUUCCCGACACCAUUGAUAUGAAGAGACAUUGGUUAAGCUAUGUGGGUGAUAGGUGGAAAGAUUUUAAAACAAAAUUGGUGAACAAGUAUAUAUAUGGUCAGAACCCUUGUCAAACAUACGACUUCAUUGAACAAGAGACAUGGAAUGAGUUUUAUCAGUCGCAUACGGGUGAAUCAUAUGAG